AAGGUGGACGAGGAGGACAAGGAUUUGUGCACGGAUUCGAGUUAUAACUCGAGGUGGUUAGCGGUCGUCGUUGGAGGUGAUCGGAGGUGGUUAGGGGUGGUUGCGGGUGAUCGAGGUGGACGAGGUGGAGGCCGAGGAGAAGAAGGACGAGGAUGACAGGGAUUUGUGUACGGAUUUGAGUUACAACCCGACGUGGUUAGUGGUGGUCGUUGGAUGUGAUCGGAGGUGGUUAGGGGUGGUUGCGGGUGAUCAAGGUGGACGAGAUGGAGGCCGAGGAGAAGGAGGACGAGGAUGACGAGGAUUUGUGUACUAUAAAUAUACCACUUAUAUAAUAUUCAACAGAGUGGGAGUGGGAGUAGGAGUACGAGUAGAAAAAGGAGUAGGAUCGGGAGUAGGAGUAGGAAUAGCAGUAGGAGUAGAAGUGGGAGUAGAAUUAGGAUCAGGAGUGAGAUCAGAAGUAGGAGUAGAAAUAGGAGUGGGAGGAUAAUCUAUAAAGAGGGAUACAAUAUCGAAUAAUCACGACCAGGUAGUUAUAAGUAUCGUUUAGAAUAGAAUAACACACGAUUUGCUCAAACACGCAAACGGUCAAAUUUAGUGAUUCUGCAGCUUCUCUGCAUUUGAAUUUGAAUUUGUCCGUCAGCGUGCACUGUUGUAUAAACUCAAACACUUUAUAAAUUGUUACUUUCGAUAUCUAAGUCAUCAUCGUCAUUCAUUGUUAC